GAAAAGUCAACGAGAAAUGUGACUAUUCCUUAUCCAUCAAAUUGAGGGAAAGGUAAUAUUCUAAGUCCUCCUGGCCAGUGCCCACUCUUCCAACUUAUCAGCCAUGGCAGAAGAAAUUAGUUCUUCAAAAAAAAGAUAUGCAAUUGUGACAGGGGCAAAUAAAGGGAUUGGCUAUGGAAUUUGCAGGCAGUUAGCUUCUAAUGGAAUCACAGUGGUAUUGACUGCUAGAAAUUUGAAGAGGGGACUUGAAGCUAUUGAGAGUUUUAAAGGGCUUGAUUUCUUUGACAAUAUAGUUUUUCAUCAGCUUGAUGUGGUUGAUCCUUCAAGUAUUGCAUCUCUUGCUGAAUUCAUCAGAAUACAUUAUGGAAGACUUGAUAUUCUGGUGAAUAAUGCAGGGAUUGGUGGAGUUGAUGUAGAUGUUGAUGCUUUAAGAGCUUCUGGAUAUGGAUCUGGUGGACCUGAUGGAUCACAUAUAGAUUGGAAUGGCAUCUUGACUGAGACAUAUGACUUGGCAGUAGAAUGUCUGCAGACAAACUACUAUGGUGCAAAAAGAAUGAUUGAAGCAUUUCUUCCUCUCCUUUACUUAUCUGAUUCACCAAGGAUCGUAAAUGUUUCUUCGUCAAUGGGAAAGUUAAAGCACAUACCCAGUGAAUGGGCUAAAGGAGUACUAAAUGAUUCUGGAAACCUUACAGAGGAGAGAGUGGAUGAGGUGGUGAAUGAAUUUCUCAAGGAUUUUAAGGAGGGUUCACUUAAAGCAAAAGAUGUAAACUUCAAUACUGGUCAUUUAACUGUUGAAGAAGGUGCUGAAAGUCCAGUAAGACUAGCUCUGCUGCCUGAUGAUGGUUCUUCUGGUUUGUUCUUUGUUCGAAAUGAAGUUUCUUCUUUUGAAUAAAGUAUUGAAGGAACACUUGAAAUGAAGAUGAUGUAUUAUCUUACUAUACAACUUAUGGUAAAGUUCAAAUGGUUCUUUCACUGCUGACAGAUUACUCAUCCAAAUUGCUUAACCAAGAUGCCACUCCAUAGCAGGUUAUAUGCUCAGAGUCAAUGAUUAUGAGUUCUGAAUUCGACUGCACUAGACAUCUAAGGGUUUGACACUUGAAUCUGACCUAAUGGUCUCAGUUCCAGUUGUCCAUGUAUCAUCUGUACCAGAAAUGCUCUCACUCUCAAUUGUCAGUGUAUGAUGCAUAUCAGAAGUCAGUACAGAUCCUUCGUCCAUGCAACUUGGACUAUGAUAAUUUGCUUGGAUAGUUGAAUCCCUUUUGGAUAUUUUAAUGGCUUCCAACUCAAUAGCUACUUCCUUCAUAGUUGGUCUUCUCUCCUGACUUGAGUUUAAGCAUCUUUGGGCAAGUUUAGCAACAAGAAUAGCCUCUUCUUCGUUCUCUCGUCUACAAGUUGACGAUCAAGGAUUGUUUUCAGAGAAUUCGGAUUCAUGGAUUUUUUUAAAAACUGUCUGCCAGACUCC